rnacentral:rRNA from 1 species
UACGUAGGGGGCAAGCGUUGUCCGGAUUUACUGGGCGUAAAGGGCGCGUAGGCGGUCGUGACAAGUCACUUGUGAAAUCUCCGGGCUUAACUCGGAACGGUCAAGUGAUACUGUCGGACUAGAGUACAGAAGGGGCAACUGGAAUUCUCGGUGUAGCGGUGAAAUGCGUAGAUAUCGAGAGGAACACCGGCGGCGAAGGCGGCCAACUGGACGAACACUGACGCUGAGACACGAAAGCGUGGGGAGCAAACAGG